rnacentral:rRNA from 1 species
CGUGUAGGCGGCCGGACAAGUCAGAUGUGAAAUCCCUGGGCUCAACCCAGGAAGUGCAUUUGAAACUGUUCGGCUAGAGUAGGGGAGAGGGAAGUGGAAUUCCUGGUGUAGAGGUGAAAUUCGUAGAUAUCAGGAGGAACACCGGUGGCGAAGGCGACUUCCUGGCCCUAUACUGACGCUGAGACGCGAGAGCGUGGGGGAGCAAACA